UAGGAUUGUUGGUUUGAGUGAACUGCCCUGCAAUCAUCAAUUGUCAAGUUGUCUUUCACUUUUUGGCUGUCUAUCGAGACGGAAAGUUUCUUCCUGUGUAUGACAGAGGUCCCUCACCCAUUGAUCCACUAGUACUUGUGAAGGUCCUCUAUUCAUAGAAAAAAGAUAAUGACAUUCUAUCCUUAAUAAAUAUCAGUGAUGGUGGAAAGUAUAUACCUUGCGGCGAAGUAAUUAAAUGGGUCAAGUCAACUUUAUCCAGUGGAUUAUCAGAAAGCAAACCGGGGGCAACUUCUGGUUCCUAGGUUAGAGAUCUAAAAGGGAAGCACAAGAGCUUUUUAUCAGGUUUUCUUGAAUGCUAUUUUGAACUUAGUUGAGGAGGAGGAUAAAGAUGCAAAAGCUCUGAAUAGUACCGAUCUUUUGCACAAUUUUCUUCAUCGUUCUUCUUCGAAGUAAAUACUUGCAUUCUAAAGUUCGGUAAGAAUUCAAUUUACAACUUGUCAACAUGCAAACAGUACCUACAAGUAUGUGACAUAAAGCAAAUAAAUAUUUACUCAUCUAGAAAAAAUUGC